rnacentral:lncRNA from 1 species
UAAUUCUUUAAUUUUUAAUAUUUAUUUAUUGAGCUACUGGGGAUGAAAACUGGGGCCUACUCGAUGCUAGGCAAGGACUCUACUACUGAGCUACAUCCACAGCCUAAUUUUUUAUUUUUAAUUGGCACAUAACUAUAUAUUUAUGGGGUAUAUUUUAACACAUGUAUGCAUUGUAUAAUGAUCAAAUCAGAAUAUUUAGGUUACAUAUCAUCUCAAACACCUAUUGUUUCUUUUUAAAACAAAGUUACACUUAGUUCAGGCUGACCUUGAACUCACUAUGUAACCCCGGCUAGCCUCGAAUUCAUGGUACUCCUCCUGUCUCAGCCUCCUAAGUGCUGGGAAUCCAAGCAUGCACCACUAUGGCCAGUCUCUCAUUCCUUUAUAAGGAAGAACAUUCAGAAUUCUGUUCUAGCUAUUUAGUAAUGUACAGUUGCUAACUGUAACCACCCAGUGUAGCAGCCCAUCAGAGCUCCCUCCUUCCUUCUCCGGGUCACUUUGCAGGCUCACCAAGUUCCCCACUCUCCUCUGCUACCCACUGUGCUACUCUACUCCCAUGAGAUCAGCUAUUUAGACUCCCAAACCAGCGCGACUCUGUAGCAUUUGUGCUUCUGUGUCAGGGUAUACUGCUGUUCAAAUGACCCAGCUAAAGGAGGCAGGACCCCAAACAGGAUUUUCUCCGUGUACGAGGCUGUGCCCAUGACCCUCUCGCAACCACUGGAGGCUGUGAGGCCGUGUGGGGACAGAUCGGCCGGGUAUGAAAACGAGUGUGAGUGUCAGCUGCUGCUGAAGGAAAUGCUGGAGCGGCUAAACAAGGAAGCUGAUGAAGCCUUGUUGCAUAACCUGCGCCAACAGCUCGAGGCCCAGUUUCUGCAGGACGAUAUCAGUGUGACCAAGGACAGGAACAAAAAGGUAACUGUGCCGCCUCUGCAGCCCUUCCCCAGGUUGGGAUCAAUCUGUGAGCCCAGGUGCUCAUGUCUGGAGAUGAGUGGCUACCUUUGGCGUCUUUUCCUCUGAGCAAACGGGGGCUGGGCCGAGGGGACAGGCCGGUCACUGGCAACACUGGAUGAGCCAGGCACAGAGAGGAGUAGGCAGUUGGGGUGCGUUGGGGUCGUGAUGUUGGGAACUCAUAUCUGUGCGUCCACUUCCUCCUAUCAGCUCCCAGGGACGGAGGUUCUCCAGCACCUCCCCAUGGGACUCGGAGCAGCUCCAGAUGUUGGGAGGAGCCCUCAGAGGUGUGGAGAUGGUGCAGAGGGAGGCAUCCUGGGUCUGUGCCCCAGUAGACUCCACCUCUGUACCACAAGGGAAAGCUGGCAUUGCAUUUGAGGAUGAGGAAGCAGCCUAGAGAGGUCGGCCGCACGCCCACGGUUCCAUGGCUCCAGGAUUCGGUUUUUCCAGCACUGCAAGACCCCCAGAGUCCGGCCUGUGAGGCUGGAGAGCUGGAGAGAACUUGGACAGGACAGGAGAGGAAGCUCCUGAAAAAAUGUGUUCUUCCAGAACUAAGAGCUAUAACACUACAUAUAUGUGUGUGUAUAUUUGUAUGUUCUGUACUUAUGCAUUUUCUGGGCUGAAAAAAGUUGACUAUUCAUAUUUUGACUUAGACUGUACCAGUGAUGGUGAACCUUUUAGAGCUUUCAAA